CCUCCACAGACAAUAUAAUCAGUCGAGGACAGGAACCAGCGAUACAGGAAUGGGGUUCAUCAAAGGUCUCGGGGUUCAUUAGUCGUUAAUUACAACCCAUGCCAUAAAAACAUCGCGCUACGUAAUUUGUGUGGAAGGAGAACUCGUUGAAUAAUGAUUUCAAUUCUGUCAAUACCAUCUUCAAUGCGCCAAUAUUAUCUAGAAAGCUAAUCAACAUGUCGCGAUAUGUCUUAUAUAGUUUGUCAUUUUUGUUAUACGAGGCAGCAGGGCUUUUAUGAACGAACCAUGUUAGAACAAAGAAAGAGUCAAGUGAAAGCACGACCAUCGAUUUCUUACAAGUUAUUCACGGAACAGUCUUUAGAUAAUUUCUGGCACCAUGCAGUCAAAUUCAAAAUAUUUAACCAACGAAUCGAUAUCCGACCAGAACAGAUUCUUCAAACAAACGAGACCCCGUAUGUUUCUCCUUUAAGAGUCUGGACAGUAACUGUUUUAGGUUCUGACGUAUCUGGUCAGCUGGACAUACCAAAUGUUCGUAUAGGGUGGUUCAUCGUCUCGGAACUUAUAAUUAUCUGUUUUUUAUAAAGCGUUGACAGCAGUAGUAUCCGUGAGUGGGCGUCAUUUGACGUCGAGGCUCGAUUUAGAUGGUGUGUUGGUCGUUAAUACGGAAUGUAUUGAUCACGUUUGGACAACGCUUCAUCGAUAGACCUAGAUCGAUACGUUAUAGUACGUACAAAAACAGAAAACGAAUUCCUGGUUGUAGGGGGCGCUAAAAUUUCCAUGGAAACUUAUCAGACCAAUUACACGGUAUAUGUCAACGUUGCUGCGACUAUCGCUCAAGCGUUGCUACAACACUGAUUUAACGCCAACACGAAAUGGAGACUGCAUGCAGAUCAUACCUACUUCAGUAGGUCAUAGAUGAGUUUUGUGAUCUUGAUAAGGGAAAUGUUACUGACAUGCCUCCAACACUAUGCAGAAGGAUUCCAGUCAUUAUAAGUACUAGGAUCACGACUGAGAAGUUAACAGUAUGAACAUCCCAUUAUGUUGCAAGCUGUCGCCAAAACUUCACAGAACCAAAACCACAGUGUUUGGUUUCAGGCAACGGAGAAGAUCAAUAACAGGGAAGAGCAUUCCAUGACUUGCUUGAUGGAUUCUCCCAGAAUUGGUUGUUUCCAGCUGAAUUGAUGAACGGCGCCAAUGGAAUACAUCAGACGUACUUGAGCAUUCUGUGAAUGUGUCACUCUCAAAGCUGUCGUGUCUGCCAUCAUGCCAGCGGUCGUAAAUCUCAAAUAGCAAAUCAUCAACCAAAGAUGACUGAUGUUCCAGUCGCCAACUGCUGUGUUGGAAUUUAAGAAUCCCUUUCCCUCCAGUGUGAUUUCCCCUUGGACCUUGGGAGGGGAGGGACAAUACAUGUACAGAAGAAUGUGUUGCCAUAGUAACUGCAUCUGCAGAAAUUUAUAGUUCUAGAGGUGUUAACACCCCUAACAUAAUCUAUGAACAAUGCAUAUCAAAUGAGAAAAUCAUUUAAAUGUUUA